AAGUGAGGCGGUCUAACACAUGCAAGUCGAGCGGUAGAGAGAAGCUUGCUUCUCUUGAGAGCGGCGGACGGGUGAGUAAUGCCUAGGAAUCUGCCUGGUAGUGGGGGAUAACGUUCGGAAACGGACGCUAAUACCGCAUACGUCCUACGGGAGAAAGCAGGGGACCUUCGGGCCUUGCGCUAUCAGAUGAGCCUAGGUCGGAUUAGCUAGUUGGUGAGGUAAUGGCUCACCAAGGCGACGAUCCGUAACUGGUCUGAGAGGAUGAUCAGUCACACUGGAACUGAGACACGGUCCAGACUCCUACGGGAGGCAGCAGUGGGGAAUAUUGGACAAUGGGCGAAAGCCUGAUCCAGCCAUGCCGCGUGUGUGAAGAAGGUCUUCGGAUUGUAAAGCACUUUAAGUUGGGAGGAAGGGUUGUAGAUUAAUACUCUGCAAUUUUGACGUUACCGACAGAAUAAGCACCGGCUAACUCUGUGCCAGCAGCCGCGGUAAUACAGAGGGUGCAAGCGUUAAUCGGAAUUACUGGGCGUAAAGCGCGCGUAGGUGGUUUGUUAAGUUGGAUGUGAAAUCCCCGGGCUCAACCUGGGAACUGCAUUCAAAACUGACUGACUAGAGUAUGGUAGAGGGUGGUGGAAUUUCCUGUGUAGCGGUGAAAUGCGUAGAUAUAGGAAGGAACACCAGUGGCGAAGGCGACCACCUGGACUAAUACUGACACUGAGG
rnacentral:rRNA from 2 species